CACAGGGUUUGGUGAACAGAGCCUACGUGGAGGAGCUUUGGGAGCUGGCGCUGUCCAAAAUCGUUGCUGCCUUGAGGACACACUCUUCAUACUGCGACGAUCCUGAUCUCGUGCUGGAUCUGAAGAACCUCAUUGUUCUGUUUGCAGACACACUGCAGGGCUACGGUUUUCCCGUGUCGCAGCUGUUCGACAUGCUGCUGGA